GAUGAAGACCCCAGCGCAAGGACCUAAAAAACACUCCGCGCAGGGAGCGAUCCCCAGUCCCCGAGCUAAUGAUGAGGAAUGGAGAGGAAUUCAGUGUGUGACCAGGGAAACUGAGUCACUGGGCACCUGAGCAAAGAUGCAUCUGACGAAGAGAGGGCUGGUCCCAGACCUUUUCCUAAUUCCCGCUUAACUGGAAAAGCCAGCGUGAGCGGGGUGAGAAAGAUGCCUGGAUCCAGGAAGGAACCAGGCCCAAAGGGAAAAAGACUUGGCCCCACUGAAAACUAAACGAUACCAGUGAGUCGGCGAGAGCUGGGAGAUGCGCAGGAAGCCCCUGCCACCUUUAGGAUCUUCCAGCCCUAGCACUGCUUCCUGAGGAGCCUCUCCCCAAUUCCUCAUCCUCCUCACCUAAGCUUCUUUGGCUCAGGCACCUGUCCCAGUACCCCUGACAUGUCUCAAAACUCCAGAUUCACAUUCCAACUCCCCACUGACACCUCUGCUAGUAUAUCUAAUAGGAACCUCAACUUUUAAAGCUUUUAAACCUCCUUCAACCUGAUCCUCCCCCCGUAACGUUUUAAAUGGCACCGCAUUUCCUCCAGUCAGUUAAGUCAGAAACCCAGAGUCAAUGUGCCUUCUCCUACCCCUACAUUCUAUCCAUCAGUAAGUCCUACAGGUUCUAUUUCAAACAACAAUAAACAAACAAAAACCUCUUGAUCCACUUCCCUCAAUUUCCAAGACCACCAUCCUAGUCCAAGCCCCCAUUAUUAGACUUCUGGUCUAAUAUCUGAUCUCCUUGCUUCCACACUGCCCUCACCCCAACCCACUGUUCACACAGCACUCAGAGUGAUCAACCUUUUUUUUCUUUUUUAAAGGGAAAUAAGAUCUCAUAAUUUACUUGCUUAAAAUGCACUUGCUUCAGAAUAAAAUCCAAAUAGAAUCCAUGGCCUUCAAGGCUACGCAUGGAAGACCCUGCUGGUCUUUCUUACUUCAGCCUGUACUCUCCUCCCACUGUCUGCUCACUGUGCUCCAGCCUCUUUGCUGUUCCCUCAGUAGACCAAGU
rnacentral:lncRNA from 10 species